rnacentral:rRNA from 1 species
GAUGAACGCUGGCGGCGUGCCUAAUACAUGCAAGUCGAGCGAACGGACGAGAAGCUUGCUUCUCUGAUGUUAGCGGCGGACGGGUGAGUAACACGUGGAUAACCUACCUAUAAGACUGGGAUAACUUCGGGAAACCGGGGCUAAUACCGGAUAAUAUUUUGAACCGCAUGGUUCAAAAGUGAAAGACGGUCUUGCUGUCACUUAUAGAUGGAUCCGCGCUCCAUUAGCUAGUUGGUAAGGUAACGGCUUACCAAGGCAACGAUGCAUAGCCGACCUGAGAGGGCGAUCGGCCACACUGGAACUGAGACACGGUCCAGACUCCUACGGGAGGCAGCAGUAGGGAAUCUUCCGCAAUGGGCGAAAGCCUGACGGAGCAACGCCGCGUGAGUGAUGAAGGUCUUCGGAUCGUAAAACUCUGUUAUUAGGGAAGAACAUAUGUGUAAGUAACUGUGCACAUCUUGACGGUACCUAAUCAGAAAGCCACGGCUAACUACGUG